rnacentral:lncRNA from 1 species
GUGAAGUCAUGUCAAGUUUACUGAAGGAAAUAGAUCAUAUCGACACAGCAGCAGCUCGUGUGUUUGAAGGGGCAGGUUUACACACCGACUCGGACAUUCGGUCAGUGACUCGAGAAGAACUGCACGAGCUAUUUCCUGAAUCAAAGAAUAUCAAGCGGAGAAGGACUAUCUUUGACCUAAUACACAAACAGAAGCCAGUUGAACAGCUCCUAAGAGAAGUAAGAGAGUUCAUCCCAGAUGACAAUUUCAAGGCGGCUCUAACUGACAAUGGAGUCCUGGUUAAUUACCUCAGUAUCCUGAAGGACAUGAAGACCCAAAUGAAUAAUAUCCAGAGUUUCCUUGAUGCUCACAUCAAUGUUCUGGAAGAAUUUAGAUGGAAUCAGCCCAAUCAGGAAUCUGCUCUCUGUAUUUCAAUGAAACCCCACGAUGACGGCCAAAACUCAUACACAAGUACUUCAUCCACCAGUGGUCAAAUGGAGGUCUACAAUCCCCAUCAGGCACAAGCAGCCCCAUUAAAGGAACCUAAAAGUUGUCCUCCCAGCCAUCUGACUACCCAAUCAAGCUUUUGUGGCAGGAGAUCUGACAUCGAUGUUGAAUUCGUUCACUUCGAAUCCUUCACCCAUUUGUCUCCACAUGACGCCACCGUGAUGUACCGUAUGGUUGUCAGCGGUCAAACCUUUGGUGCACAUCAACAGCUGAUGGACAAAUUCAAGAAUCAGGAUCAGUUUAUACUUACUGAAGACACAAACAACUACGAGAUCACUUUUGUCUUCUGCCCAAUCAGUUCACGCAUUCAGUCAGAUGUUGACGCAGCCAUGAGUAAUGUUAAAGAUGAUAAACCUGUCAUUCUGGUGUUGAUGCACCACACACGUGAGGCCAAGAUCAUGACAUAUAUGAAAACAUAUGACGCUAAAGUUCAGUUGCAUGUCAACGUUUUCUACCAUGAGACGAAACGUGGAUUAAUUCCGUGUUAUGAAAAUAGGGCUGCUGUGACCGAUAUACAAAGAGUACUAUGGGGCUUCAUUAAGAAGAGUUAAGAGGAAAUGAUGACGGUGUGAUGGACAUCUAGUUGUCCUGUGAGGUGGUGGUGGUAACAACAUCAGUCGUUCUGGUUUUCUUUAGCUUGGUUAUUAGAAUUAGCUCUGUUGAUGGUGGCAACGAUGGUAUUAUUUCCGUUCACACAAGUAAACAAUAUGUAAUGGAUCAUAAACAGCAAAAAUAAAACAGGCAACAUUUGAUUGAUUUAGACCAAUAACUGAUUUACAUGAAAAUGAGAUCAGCUACUGAUUGUGGUCUAAUGAUGUCAGUAUUAAUGGGUGUAAACAGCUAAACAAAAAGUUGUUUGCUUAUUUCCUGCUUAUGAAUUUCUAAAGCUCUUAUAACCCUAACUCAUUAGACUAAUAUUGUAAUAAAAUGCAUUUCCUAUAAUCAAAUGUAUAAUCCAGUGUUCUCCAGUUGCUAUUGUUGUUUCUGUAUAGACGUAUUAAGACUUGAAUGUACCGUGAGUUUAAAGAGUGCCACAAAGCUCAGUAACUGGCCAAAGGAUGACCUUUGAGAAUAAAGUAUAUCAGAAAUCACAUGGUUGAGAGAUUAUAUCUGCAUGUUUUACACCCUUUCACCAACAGGUGGUUUUGUGUGCACAUGAAGACUUGCUGGAAAGCUUCAACGCUUCAAGAAGCUUCCUCUCGCCAUCACUACUUAUUGUAAAGUUAUUUUGCGUGAUAUGUUAUGUAAGGUGUGAGGAUUAAUAUACCUAAUAUUUUCAAUAAACUGCAAUAAUGGGUGCAAUCAUAUUGUCUGUGAUCCUUUUUUUGCUGGCAUAAUAAAUAUAUAUAUAUAUAUAUAUUUAAGC